AACGCACAUUGCGCCCUCUGGUAUUCCGGGGGGCAUGCCUGUUCGAGCGUCAUUACAACCCUCAAGCUCUGCUUGGUAUUGGGUGUCACCCCUGGGUGCACCUCAAAAACAGUGGCGGUGCCACUCGGCUUCAAGCGUAGUAAUUCAUCUCGCUCAGGAGUCCGGGUGGUCGACUUGCCAAAACCCCAAUAUCAUUUUAAGGUUGACCUCGGAUCAGGUAGGGAUACCCGCUGAACUUAA
rnacentral:misc_RNA from 1 species